UACGUAGGGUGCAAGCGUUGUCCGGAAUUAUUGGGCGUAAAGAGCUCGUAGGCGGGUCAUCAAGUCGGAUGUGAAAUCCCUCGGCUUAACCGAGGACGUGCAUUCGAAACUGAUGGUCUUGAGUACGAAAGAGGAUCGCGGAAUUCCCGGUGUAGAGGUGAAAUUCGUAGAUAUCGGGAGGAACACCAGUGGCGAAGGCGGCGAUCUGGGUCGAUACUGACGCUGAGGUGCGAAAGCGUGGGGAGCAAACAGG
rnacentral:rRNA from 1 species